rnacentral:rRNA from 1 species
GAGGGUGCGAGCGUUAAUCGGAAUUACUGGGCGUAAAGCGCAUGCAGGUGGUUUGUUAAGUCAGAUGUGAAAGCCCGGGGCUCAACCUCGGAAUUGCAUUUGAAACUGGCAGACUAGAGUACUGUAGAGGGGGGUAGAAUUUCAGGUGUAGCGGUGAAAUGCGUAGAGAUCUGAAGGAAUACCGGUGGCGAAGGCGGCCCCCUGGACAGAUACUGACACUCAGAUGCGAAAGCGUGGGGAGCAAACAGGAUUAGAUACCCUGG